AAAUUGAAGAGUUUGAUCAUGGCUCAGAUUGAACGCUGGCGGCAGGCCUAACACAUGCAAGUCGAACGGUAACAGGAAGCAGCUUGCUGCUUCGCUGACGAGUGGCGGACGGGUGAGUAAUGUCUGGGAAACUGCCUGAUGGAGGGGGAUAACUACUGGAAACGGUAGCUAAUACCGCAUAAUGUCGCAAGACCAAAGAGGGGGACCUUCGGGCCUCUUGCCAUCGGAUGUGCCCAGAUGGGAUUAGCUUGUUGGUGGGGUAACGGCUCACCAAGGCGACGAUCCCUAGCUGGUCUGAGAGGAUGACCAGCCACACUGGAACUGAGACACGGUCCAGACUCCUACGGGAGGCAGCAGUGGGGAAUAUUGCACAAUGGGCGCAAGCCUGAUGCAGCCAUGCCGCGUGUAUGAAGAAGGCCUUCGGGUUGUAAAGUACUUUCAGCGGGGAGGAAGGGAGUAAAGUUAAUACCUUUGCUCAUUGACGUUACCCG
rnacentral:rRNA from 1 species